GGGUGGGCGGAGCCGCGGCCGGGCAGUUCAUUAUGUUGGACAGGGCGCGUCUGCGCCUCCGGCCGCCGCGGCUCCCGGGGCCUCCGCCUGCAGCCGGCGGCGGAACGAGGGCAGGCGGCUGAGACAGGCGAGCUAUUUGCAUUCCCCGGCAGUCAUUUUUAUAUGCGGAGGUAAUGAAGUUGUCAGCGGCGCCCCGAGUGUGGCAGAGCCUGAUAUUCAAAUCGCCCUGCCCGCUCCGCCUGCUCCCGCCCGCUGGUCCCGGGAGCCCCAGGCUGCGCGCGCCCGCACCGCAUCGCCGCUUUGCCCCGCGACCGCGCGCGCCUCCUCGUCCUCCCCCGCGCCUUUGUUUCCGUCUCCUUCUCCUUUCCCUCCUCUUUUGUGUCGGGCCAGACUCAGCCCCAGAAACCAGCCACCCUGCCGCGUCCGACUGCCAGGGAUCCCUCACGCCGCGAGGUGGAGUCUCGCUCUGUCGCCCAGGCUGGAGUACAGUGGUGCGAUCUUGGCUCCCUGCAACUUCUGCCUCCCAGGUUCAAGCGAUUUUCCUGCCUCAGCUUCCUGAGUAGCUGGGACUACAGGAAGAGACACUAGAGAGACACUCAGCUGCAGUGAGAAUACACAGGCAUCUUCAAGUACCAGAGAUGUCUCCAAGAGCACCAGCAACCCCAGCUAUCUGGAUCUGAAGUGGAUAUGCUCAGAGACAUCCUGGCCCACCCCAAAGAAGAUGCUGCUGCACUCAGAAGACGCCAGAGCUAGCCACCACCCACACUGCAAGUCUGGAAGCUCUGCAAGGACCCAGCAAGGCAGCCUGCUCAGCGAAGGCUUUGUCUCCUGUGGCAGGAAGAGCAACAUUAAGAACAAGAACCCCGGGCUGGACUACCCCUGAGAUUUAAUGACCAGAGCUGAGACCCCCAAGACCACAAUGACUAUGGAGGGCUGUCAUUACCCUGCCUGACCCUCUAAUGCCUCUCAGUUCAAGGAGGCCACUGAGUGAAACUGAAGGCUGGUUUUCCUUGGAAGCCAGCGGCCCAUCCACCUGCUCCACUUCCCUGCCUCUUGCAGCCUCCGCUCAAACACUGUCGUGGCUUGGCAGCACUACAAGUAUUUCAGGGGCUGCCAAGCUGCUCUCCUGUUUCCUCUUCCUUGGGGCUGAUUGCAUCCCAUGAUGUGCCCAGGUUUUGAGAUGCUCCUCGUGAAUGAAAAUAGGACUGUCUGGUUCCUCCAUCCAUAGCAAGGGAGCCUAGACAGAAAUAACUUCUGUGCAUUUCUCCAGCUACAUUUAGGGAAAACUAGAAAAUACAGAAAUAUAUCAAGAAGAAAAAAAAUUUAAAAAUGACCCAAAAUCCCACCAACCAGAGACAGCUAUUAAUGAUUGUGGUAUAUUUAUUCCUCACAGCUGGGCACAGGAAAACACGGAAUAAGGACCCAGUGAACUAAAGGGGCUGAAGCCAUGACUAGGAAUCAUAUGCAUGAAGAAGCCCAGAAGAGCCAAUCCUCCCCAGAAGGGCACCCGGAGACCACUAAGGAAGGAGGGAGGAUACCUUCUGUUCCCGUGUUCAGGCUCCAAUGUAUCCAGGUCACAGGAGGCUGCCUCUCCAGGCAGAGAAACUGAUCCGUCCCUAUCAGUGCCAGGCAGAGGGCAGGGGAUUUCGCACCUGAGCAAGGGUUGGGAUGACUCCCAAGCUUCCAUUCUCCCUGGAGUUCCUCCCGAGGGUCUCUGUGACACAGAGGAGGAAGCAGGAGCUUUCUUUGCAUAAUCAUGGUCAAAUAUUUAUAUUUGUUUAGGAUUUGCUUCUAUAGGAUGUUUUCGUCAUUCAAAUCUAUUUCCAAAAUAAAUCUGGAUCUCUUUUAUAAGAAAAUGCAAUGAAAACACCAGAAUGAUAGAGUAAGAAAAUAGAACUGAAAUUACUGAAAAGGAGCUGAGGAAUUAGAUGUUGCCAGGCAUCUGAGAUGAGAUGAUUAAAACAGCCAGGUGGCUCUGAGCUAAGGCAAAAGGCAGAAUCUGGGGCAACACAGUUUAUAUCAUCUGACAACAUAAAGCAUGCACAUCCUUUGUGUCAAGCCGCACUGCUUCCUGGAACAAACUCAAGGCAGAAUUUAUUACCUGGGUUCCUGUUUAAGUGCAUGUCGAAUGACCAGUUGAUGAAAGCCUUCAAAUAAAGUUUUGCAAAAGAACAAAGAAUGAGACGUGGAGUACUGACCCUCUCUGAAAGGAUACCAGAAUUAAGACUACAGAAGCCGACCCAACAUUUGCUCACUACCUUUUAAAUUGGACUUAAUGCCAUAUUUUAAAAAAUAACCACUUUUAAAAUAAUUUUUGCUUAUAUCAAAAGUAAUACAGGUGAAUUUCAGGAAAUUUGUAAAAUACAGCUUCAAAGAGAGAGGUGGAGAGAGAGAGAGAGAGAGAAAUCUAUCAUCUAUCACUCACCACUAUUAACAUUUUAGUGUCAUCUUCCCAUGUUUUUGUUUAUGCAUAGAUAUGCAUAUCUAUUUUGCAAAGAUAAGAAAUUACUAUAUCUUUUAAACGUUUUUAUUUGAUAAUGUACUAUGAAUAUUUCCCAUUCAAUUAAAUACCUCUACAGUGACACUGAAUGCUUAUGAUACUGUAUUGAUAUUAAUAUUGUAGAAUACAUCAGGAAGAUAUUAUUACAAUAUGUUUAACCAAUCCCCUGGAUGCUAGAUAUUUGGGUUUCUAACAUUUCAUCUUUUUAAAUAAUUCUGUGAUGAACAUCUGUUCGCAGGGUACCCUCCAUGACCAGUUGUGUUUCAGAGAAGGCAGAUCUAGUCCAUUCAAGGCCAGGAUCCCCCGGAGGUCAGUACAUUAUUUGCCCAGUGAACUGUGGGCAUAUCUAUACUUUUUGCACUUUUCCAGGCAGGAAGGAGGAAGUAGUACUGAGAACCCACUGUCUUGGGUUAAGGAGCAUUCUCUGGGCUGCUUAGGGGAGAAGAUUUCUAUCCCAAGGUCCUGCAGCCUUGGGGUAAGAUGGGAGCAGAGAAGACAGAGUGUGGGGCCACUGUGGAGGCAGCAGGGAGGGGUUCCUUGUGGCCACUGAUCGGAGCCCUCAUAUUCCUUGUGGGGAGGCUCUAAUUUCUCCAGAGAUGCUUCUCUACUUGGAGGUCUGCCCUGUGUCGGGAGCAUUAGUGGCCCUGCAGAGAGGUGGGACGUUAUUUGGAUACUCUUGCUCGUAGGGAGUUUGUUGCCUCCCAAAAGGUGUGUGGCAUUUGUAAGUUGUUCUCCUUUUCCAUGGUUCUUCAGAAGACUUGAAUAUGGUUUGUAAUCUAGGCACCAAAAUUGAAAUUCCCUCCAAAGAGCCACACAAAUAAAUGACCUCCCAUACCAUUAAGUUCUCUCUAUGCAUGGCAAUCCCUAGUUAACCUCAGACAGGUAAGAAGAGAGAGUGUUUUUCAUCAAUGACAAGGAAAGUUUUUUCUGGCUAAUGUGGUAUAGUAGCAAAUGCAACUAAAAAGGACACCCCCAAGCAUGUCUUUAAUUCAUUUGUACACAUCCAACAACAUCACUUUUAAGUACACAUAGGUAGGAUAAAUAUUUAGUCAUUAAGUAUCUGAAGUUAUUGUAAUUCUAUUUCAGCACUAUUCUUUUCCCUACAUUAAAAAAAAAUUUCUAGACUGUGCUUCAACCUCAAAGGACAUACCUUGGACAGAAUAUUCCAUUAAAGACAUUGUUGGAGCAACUUUUAUUAUUCAUUAGUGUGUUUUAAAGUGGACCUGAACAGAAAUGCUUUUUGCUAAAGUAAAAAUACAUCCGUUUCUAUGAUCUAAUUGUGCAAUUGGUUAGAAUUUCUAUCUAUCAGUUCAAAGGGAAACUUGGUUUCAGUGAAUUUGUUUUUAAUAAAAAUGUGCUAUCUAUGAUAAAUAUAUUUCACUUUGUUCAAAUGGAUUUGAUUGGGAAAACAUAUUGAGCAGAAGUACUGGUACAGCUUAAUUUCAUUGCUUUGAGAAAACGUAUUGAAUGCUGGUUUGAAUUAAAUUCUAUUUGUUUUAAUAAAAGUGUAUUGGCCUGAGUGUACAUAUAUUUGUUUUAGUGGUAGUGCAUUGGAUCCAAUAAAACUAUAUUGGCUUCACUGC
rnacentral:lncRNA from 1 species